AACGAACGCUGGCGGCAGGCUUAACACAUGCAAGUCGAACGCACCGCAAGGUGAGUGGCAGACGGGUGAGUAACACGUGGGAACGUACCCCUUUGUUCGGAAUAACCCUGGGAAACUAGGGCUAAUACCGGAUACGGCCGGAAGGCGAAAGGUUUACCGCAGAGGGAUCGGCCCGCGUCCGAUCAGCUUGUUGGUGAGGUAAUGGCUCACCAAGGCAUCGAUCGGUAGCUGGUCUGAGAGGAUGGCCAGCCACAUUGGGACUGAGACACGGCCCAAACUCCUACGGGAGGCAGCAGUGGGGAAUAUUGGACAAUGGGCGCAAGCCUGAUCCAGCCAUGCCGCGUGAGUGAUGACGGCCUUAGGGUUGUAAAGCUCUUUUGCCUGGGAAGAUAAUGACGGUACCAGGAGAAUAAG
rnacentral:rRNA from 1 species